rnacentral:SRP_RNA from 1 species
AUCUCAAUUGUUAAUACAUGAAUCAUUUGUGAUAACUUUGGAUUUUUAGCUGGUUUAAUAUCUGUUUUAUCAUAUGUAUAUGUCGAUCAGGUGUCCGCGCUAAGUUCGGUAUCGAUAUGGUGCUCCUGGGGCAGCUCGGGACCACCAGGUCGUCUAAGGAGGGGUGAACCGGCCCAGGUCGGAGACGGAGCAGGUCAAAGCCCCCGUGCCGAUCAGUAGUGGGGUCGCACCUGUGAAUAGACACUGCAGUGCAGCCUGAGCGAUACAGCGAGACUCAGACUUUU